rnacentral:rRNA from 1 species
GAUGAACGCUGGCGGCGUGCUUAACACAUGCAAGUCGAACGAAGCACUUUGAAAGCUUGCUUUUGGAGUGACUGAGCGGCGGACGGGUGAGUAACGCGUGGGUAACCUGCCUUAUACAGGGGGAUAACAGUUGGAAACGACUGCUAAUACCGCAUAAGCGCACAGUGCCGCAUGGCACAGUGUGAAAAACUCCGGAGGUAUAAGAUGGACCCGCGUCUGAUUAGCUAGUUGGUGGGGUAAAGGCUCACCAAGGCGACGAUCCGUAGCUGGUCUGAGAGGACGACCAGCCACACUGGAACUGAGACACGGUCCAGACUCCUACGGGAGGCAGCAGUGGGGAAUUUUGGACAAUGGGGGCAACCCUGAUCCAGCCAUUCCGCGUGAGUGAAGAAGGCCUUCGGGUUGUAAAGCUCUUUCGGCAGGAACGAAACGGUGGCCCCUAAUACGGGUUGCUAAUGACGGUACCUGAAGAAGAAGCACCGGCUAACUACGUGCCAGCCGCCGCCGUAAGAC